rnacentral:lncRNA from 1 species
GCUGACUUUAAUGUUUGAUCUGGUGAAGCAAGGUCAUUUGACUAAGAAAACAAGGUUAUCUUGAUAAAAUGCCUCGCUCUUUCUCUCACUCCCUCUCUCUUACAAAUGCAGUCUGAACUCUUUCUGUUACCCAGCUCCUCUCAAACAGCAUACAGAAUCCAAGACAGCAAAUGAGCUGUGACAUAGAGCAACUAAGGGAAGCCUUUGAUUCUGCACUCAAGAUGAUGAUGUAUCUGUGGAGCUGUCUUCAGCACAAUCAGAGCCCCCUGGAGAGAUGAAAACAUUGGCAAUUGUAACUGAGAAGAGUGAUCUGCCGAGGACAGUGAUCAGGCAUCCACCAUGAUCACUGUAUUGUCUUCUCUCAUUUGAAAAUAUCCACGUCUAAAAUGUUUAUCUAAACCGAAAAAUUGUUUCAUUUUUGCCAGAACAAAUUAAAUUGCAUUUGUCUUAUUUUGCUGUUUUUGUUCAUUUCAUGGGGUUCAGGUACUAUACUCACGUUGAGAGUC